rnacentral:lncRNA from 1 species
GUGCUUCACCAAGGACACAGGUGGUGCUCCUGUUCUCCAGGGACUGUGAACCUGUCCCUCUCCCAAGGCCCCUGUCCUGCCAGGGAUGUGUUCCCACCCAGAGGCGUCCCCUGAUGUGGCCAGCUCUGUGCCCUGAAGCUGGUCUGCUCCCUGGGAGGAGGCAGAGAGCCAGGGCACCAACCCCAGGCAGCCUGUCCUGUGGGCUGGUGCCCGGUGCCCAACUCCUGUUUCAUGAUUCCACAGUGACCACAGUGUUGCCUGGACCUGGAUGCCUGCCUGGGCUGGAGACCAUCUGGCUGUGCCCUCUGGCUUCCCCAGAAGAGGAUGCUCUUAGAUGUCAGCCAAAGCCAGCCUGGGUUGGGAGCCGACCACUUCUGACUUUUACUCUCAGGCCUCAAGUCCAGACUUGGCCUGGGCCUAGAAUGUUGGUGUCAAAGACAAAGGCCUUGAGGAACUGCAUGAAAUCAUCCACCGUGAGCCCAUGAGUGUCCUGGAGAUGACACAAAGGUAGAGAAACAGUUCCAUAUUAGGGAUUCAUUGAAUGCUUGUUGACAUGAUGGUGUUUUAGAAAGGUUUCUAAUCCCAAAUGUUUAAAUUUUCCAAUGCGUUGAAGGAGGCCCUUUUUUAACCAGUGUGUUUCAGCUAACUGGAACUUGAGCCCAUGGACAUUCUGGACAGCCACAGAGAAUCCUCUCUGGGAAAACCAGGGCCAACUCACAACAAGCGUGACUUCACCCUACACUCCCCAGUGCUGCGUGACGGGGACAAGAAGCCAAGGACAAAUAUCACACAUCUUCCAGGAGAGCCAAUUAUACUCUGUAGUUGGGUUUUUUUUUAAUAGGAUGAAAAUUACCAAAAAGAAUUUCCCUCAUGUUAAGACAUGCAUUUUUUUCUUAUUUCAGCAUUUCUAAAAUCUGAAGGCACUGAUGUCAUUGUUUAAUGUGGCCAUUUUCUUGCUUCUCAGAAAAAUUAAUUAAAUGUCAUUAAAUCCAGGGCACUUCAUGUAAUUGACAGCAUCUUAGAACUGAGGACAUUAAACAGCCAUUUAAAUAGAACUGUAAGUCAUUUAAGACAUUGUUUUAUGCGAACCCUUGGCAGGAUGCUUUAAAAUCAGAAGGCCA